UACGUAGGAGGCAAGCGUUAUCCGGAAUGACUGGGCGUAAAGGGUGCGUAGGUGGUUUGGCAAGUUGGUAGCGUAAUCCCGGGGCUUAACUUCGGUGCUACUACCAAAACUGCUGGGCUUGAGUGCAGGAGGGGUGAAUGGAAUUCCUAGUGUAGCGGUGGAAUGCGUAGAUAUUAGGAAGAACACCAGCGGCGAAGGCGAUUCACUGGACUGUAACCGACACUGAGGCACGAAAGCGUGGGGAGCAAACAGG
rnacentral:rRNA from 1 species